CAAUGGCACCAUUAGAUACUGAUGCGUGUGUUAGUCAAUUAGUCAAGAUAACGGUGCGUCUGGCAUUAUAUGACUAGAUCUACCACAGCAACAGGGCUGGGUCGA